GAAAAAGGAAGGGCUAUUCUACUGUUAAAGUUUCUUUUGGGGGGCGUAGAUGCAAAAGUAUUUUUUCUUUUUGUCCUUAGUUUUAUUUGAAAAGGGCUCAAAAUUUGGAAAUCCAUAUAAAAUCAUAGGAAAUCGAUAAAAAUACAAAAUAAUUUUUUUUGGCUUCCUCAUGCUCAUAUAUAACUAUUAAAAAUACUUGUUCUUGUGAAAUAUGUGUUUCUAUUGCUUAUUAAAAUGCAUGUUGCUUAAUCUCCUUAUUUUGAAAUAAAUAGUUCUCAUGCACAUAAAAUCCUGAUAAAUUCACAGUAGUAUAC
rnacentral:lncRNA from 1 species